rnacentral:lncRNA from 1 species
ACCUUUCACCGUAGCAUCAGUCCUCAGUUCACUUCUUGGAACGAACAUCAGCAUAGGUCCAAGCCCUCUCGCUUGGACCAAGCCCUCUCGCUUGGAGGGAUAUGCAAACAAACAUCCUGAUAGGGGUAAACUCGCACGCUACCGAGCAUUCAACCGAGCACAUGCAUGCUUAGUUGAGUGGUGAGAUGCGACCCCCCCUUCAUUUCGUGCUCGGCAAGCCUGCCUCCGCGUACCGGAUAUGUUGGCGAUGUUACAGAGACGCUGCACCUUGGUUUCUGUGCGCAAUGCGUACGAUGCUCGACCCCGCCGACCAAAACUACACGUGCCCAACUGAAGACAUUCCCGGUGGUUGUGCAGCAGCUCUUGAGGCUGUUGCUGGCUGAAAUCCAUCCUGAGCUGUUGCAACACGGCUAACGCGGGCACGUCCCUAUGCACAGCAAAUAGCUGUUCCAAGCCAACAGCGGCGUCCAUGUCACCGACAAGGCUCUAAACGUCUUAUCUGUUCUUAUGUUUAAUUAAGUUUAUGUAUGUUAUACUUUGCGCAACUUUGUAAUUUGACUUUACUCUGAACAAGGUGCUGCAUACAACUGCCUCUUCGCCAGCGCUUCAUCUUCCGCGGCAGUUUCACGAGCCCAGAGUUGCAAGCUACGACGUUGGCUUUCGGUGCUUUUAGUUACUGCAAAGCAUCCACGCAAUAGUCCAGCCUGCAUGCCGCGUGCGGCUAUGGCCAACAUGCCCACCUGCGCAACGCGCUGGCGCACCUGGUCCUUUUCCGCCAAGAAAAUUUAUAUACACUUGUACAGGCGCAUUUUGAGAAUCGCACGCGCGCAUCUGCGCGGUAAAAUUCGCUCCUGGCUUUUGGGGCGUGAUGUACGGACCUUUUAUUCGCGAAGUACGACCGGACACAUUUGUGCGAGAGGCUGCUUAAUGCGCUGGCGCACCUCCAAGAAAUUUAUAUACACUUGUACAGGCGCAUUUUUCGAAUCCCACGCGCGCAUCCGCGCGGUGAAUUUCGCUCCUGGCUUUUUUGGACGAUGUACGAACGGUUUAUUCGCGAAGUACGACGGCUCACAUUUCUGCGAGGGGCUGCUUAAAUAGGGGGGUCCUUGUGAAGCAGCUGCCCGCGUUUCCAAAGCACGUAUGGUGUUGGAUUGUAAGGUGCCCAAGUACGUUUGCGAGGAAGAGAAUGUGGCCAGGCUGGAGAAGAAAGUGCAGUGGCAUAUUGGAAUGUGAGAUUAGCGUAAGCGAGUUACAGGGCGUUUGGCGCACGGGCGAAUUUACGUGCAUACCUUUCACCGUAGCAUCAGUCCUCAGUUCACUUCUUGGAACGAACAUCAGCAUAGGUCCAAGCCCUCUCGCUUGGACCAAGCCCUCUCGCUUGGAGGGAUAUGCAAACAAACAUCCUGAUAGGGGUAAACUCGCACGCUACCGAGCAUUCAACCGAGCACAUGCAUGCUUAGUUGAGUGGUGAGAUGCGACCCCCCCUUCAUUUCGUGCUCGGCAAGCCUGCCUCCGCGUACCGGAUAUGUUGGCGAUGUUACAGAGACGCUGCACCUUGGUUUCUGUGCGCAAUGCGUACGAUGCUCGACCCCGC